rnacentral:rRNA from 1 species
AUAAAACUUUCAACAACGGAUCUCUUGGUUCUCGCAUCGAUGAAGAGCGCAGCGAAAUGCGAUACCUAGUGUGAAUUGCAGCCAUCGUGAAUCAUCGAGUUCUUGAACGCACAUUGCGCCCGUCGGUAUUCCGGCGGGCAUGCCUGUCUGAGCGUCGUU